UACAGAGGUGGCAAGCGUUGUUCGGAAUUACUGGGCGUAAAGGGCGCGUAGGCGGCCUGCUAAGUCGGAUGUGAAAUCCCUCGGCUCAACCGAGGAACUGCAUCCGAUACUGGCGGGCUUGAAUCCGGGAGAGGGAUGUGGAAUUCCAGGUGUAGCGGUGAAAUGCGCAGAUAUCGGGAGGAACACCAGUAGCGAAGGCGGCUCGCUGGGCCACACCUGACGCUGAGACGCGAAAGCUAGGGGAGCGAACAGG
rnacentral:rRNA from 1 species